rnacentral:rRNA from 1 species
UGUACUACUAUGACCUCAUAUACAUCAGGUCAAAGUGCAGCUAAUAAGAAGGUGAUGAUGGGUUACAACCCCAAAACAGACUAUCAAAUAAGAAAUAAAAAAUCUUACGAAAGUGGACUUGGCCGUAAUUAAUUUACAAGUUAAAAAAAUGAAUAUAAAUCUAAGACAUGCACACAUCGCCCGUCACUCUAUCCUAAAGGAUAGAUAAGUCG